UACGGGGGGAGCAAGCGUUGUUCGGAUUUACUGGGCGUAAAGGGCGCGUAGGCGGCCAGCGCAAGUCAGUUGUGAAAUCUCCGGGCUUAACUCGGAACGGUCAACUGAUACUGCGCGGCUAGAGUGCGGAAGGGGCAACUGGAAUUCUCGGUGUAGCGGUGAAAUGCGUAGAUAUCGAGAGGAACACCCGUGGCGAAGGCGGCUCUCUGGGACGGUACUGACGCUGAGACGCGAAAGCGUGGGGAGCGAACAGG
rnacentral:rRNA from 1 species